rnacentral:rRNA from 1 species
GAUGAACGCUGGCGGCGUGCUUAACACAUGCAAGUCGAACGAGAAGUGGAGACGGACACCUUCGGGCGGACGACUUUAUUUCGAGUGGCGGACGGGUGAGUAACGCGUGGGUAACCUGCCUCAUACAGGGGGAUAACAGUUGGAAACGACUGUUAAUACCGCAUAAGACCACAGCACCGCAUGGUGCGGGGGUAAAAACUCCGGUGGUAUGAGAUGGACCCGCGUUCGAUUAGCCAGUUGGCGGGGUAACGGCCCACCAAAGCGACGAUCGAUAGCCGAUCUGAGAGGAUGACCGGCCACAGUGGGACUGAGACACGGCCCAAACUCCUACGGGAGGCAGCAGUGGGGAAUAUUGCACAAUGGGGGAAACCCUGAUGCAGCGACGCCGCGUGAGUGAAGAAGUAUUUCGGUAUGUAAAGCUCUAUCAGCAGGGAAGAAAAUGACGGUACCUGAGGAAGAAGCCCCGGCUAACUACGUG